rnacentral:misc_RNA from 1 species
UCUCCGUAGGUGAACCUGCGGAGGGAUCAUUACCAAAGAUGGCGGGCCUCCGCGCCCCCGUCCCCAACCCAUUGUUGACCAAAACCCUUUUGCCUCGGGGGCAGAGCGUCCGCCGCCGCCCCCGGAGGACCAUUUAACGCUGUCUCUUUGCGUCGGAGUAUUGAUUAAAUGAAUGAAAACUUUCAACAACGGAUCUCUUGGUUCUG